rnacentral:lncRNA from 1 species
CCUCCCUCCCCUCCCCGCGGCAGCUUCUGCAGAGAAACGAAACCGAAGCCCGGGGCGGGGCGGCGGAACCGAAACCGAUCAGCUGCGGGGCCGGCAGGGGUGCGGCCGCCCGCCUGGCUCCCGAUGGGCGACCCCGGGGGUCCCGGCCAGGGCGGCAGGAAGCUCUGGCUCGCCGCGGCCAUCGCAGAACUCGCCAUCAUCCUCAUCCUGGCGGCCGGCCUGGGCCACUUCGUGGCCGAGGAGCGCCGGCGGGCCGCGCAGUGGCUGGAGUGCCAGCGCGGGGUGCACGUCGACGUGCUGGCCCUGCGGGGCGAGAUAGCCAGCAGCAACAGGGUGCUGCAGGAGACGCAGGAGGGCUGGGACGUGUGCAGGAACCGCACGCACGUCCUGCAGAAGAAUGUCACCAGCCUGACCCGGGAGGUCACCCGGUUGAACAGCGACAUGGCCCAGCAGGAGGUGGAAAAAGGCAGGUUACGAGGUGAGACAGCUGCUGUUCUCAGCCCCUCCGCACCAGCAGAGCCUGC